CUAAAGCCUCUCGCUUACACCGAGGAUAUAUCUGUUAGACCAGAUUAUUUUGA
rnacentral:tRNA from 1 species